UCUCCAUAGCAGGCCCAUUCUGCUCUGAGGAAGAUCACUGAUCCUCUCUCACAGCAGCUAUGAUGUUUAUGAAAAUUAGCAGUUACAAUGCAAUUAAAUUGAAAUUAUACAGCAGUUAUCAGUCCAAUUAGAUAAGAAAAUGAGACAAAUAAAGAAGAACAAUGAAUUGUCAUGAUUUCUAGAUGAAAAAAUGGAUCAAAACCAAAAUAAUGUCAGACAAUCUGACAACAUUCUUUCUGGGAGAAACUCACUGAAUAGACAGGAAAAUGAGUAAACAUGAAAGAUUACUAGAAAAGAAAUUUUUCCAUCAGCUGAUCUGGCUCACUGGCUCCGAGUGUCACUUGUGCAUAAUGUCAUUAAUGUGGGUGUUAUUUAUUCCUCUGAGCUGUCAUCUGUACUCAGUUAAGGCAAAUAAACUUAGGGAAUGGUCAUGUCUUUCUGUAAGAUUUCAAGAUACAAGGUUCUUUAAGAGAGGUCACUCUGCAGAGGAAUUACUUAUCUAAAUUGCACAACAGCAUUUCUGUAUGGAAGUCUGCCUCAAAUUUGCCUUGGGGUUUGCCUGUAUAUGUAAUAUUGAUAAUCCUGGACAUUUAAAAGAUGGGUGGCAUAUCUUUCUUUGUAUUGAAUCUAUUCUAUUGACCCCGCACAUAUUUAUUUUGUUCAUCUCUUAAAAGUCAUCAGCUGGCAUACAGAUACUAUCUUUGUCAACGGCUGUUUUACAAAAAAAAAAAAAAAAAAUCAUAAAACCCCCAUGUGUCUAAGGCAAAAUGUAUCCUAACCAGAACAAUCCAAUUAGUGAAAUCCAAAGUUUUUGCCACCUAACUGGUAUAUUAAAGAAUUUGUGCCAAUAAACUCACAAAGAAGGCAAAAAGGCAGCAGAGGAAUCAGUAAAAUUCCAUCAUAUACCAAGUAAAUAUUCAUUUAUUUCAUGAAUUCUAGAGAUAAGAUAAAGCAUAAAGAUGGUACCUUAAACAUGGUACCUUGCAAUUGCUCUAGUUAAAAAGCAUUUUUCAUUGAUUUCCACAAUUAUUAUUUUUUUAUAAAUCAAGUAAAGUGCAAAAGUCAGAUUCCAAAUAGCAGCCAUUUACUCUAGGAGUUAUGGCUCCACAAUUUGUCUAUCCAGUCUGAAAAUAAAUUGAAGUUCUGUGUGAUUGAGUGUGCACUUAAUGCGCAUAAUAAUUGUUGGAAUGAGAUGUGAAAAAUAAAGCAAGAGUUUAAUAAGGGCCUUGCUUGCUAUAUAAAUCCAGAAACACUUAGAAGUGGUCAUGCAAUCUUCUAAAAACACCUUACCAUAAAAAAAGUCUUAUUUUUUUCUUGAGUGCAUUCACUUCCAGUACAUGACUGAAACAUCCUGACUCCUUCAAAGUACCAAAGAGAAAAAGACUCAAAACUUGAACAGAAGCUUCUUUUAAAGUGCAAGAAAAAUAAUGCUGAGGCUAAUAAAACUUAUUUAAUCCAUGAAAUCUCUAAAAUUUGCUCCUAUUUUUGAAAGCACAGCAAGUUCUACAUUUAGCAGAGGGACUGAUCCUGUCACACUCUCACAAGUGUUUUUGUUAUAGUGACUGAAAGCACCUCAAUUUCACAGCCAAAACACUGAAAACAAGGAAAUUAAGAGAGAAAAUUUUUCUGUUUGAUAAACAAAUGACAUAGCCACAGCACCAAGCAGGGCAGAUCCAGUUCUGUGCCUGUUAAAGGCAAUGUUUUUAUAGCUGGAGUUCACUACAAGUAACUGAACAAUAUUACUCAGAUAAACCCCAGGGCUUAGACCAGCAGAUGAGGAAAAACCAGCCCUGCAGUACCAGGAGGCAAAAUGGAGAACAUGACAAGGUUUAGACUGCAGACAAUAAUGCAGGGUAUUUUUGCUGGCUCCUAUCUAAAACCAAGCUCCAGGCUGAUGGACCAGUCUCAGCCAUCACAGCACUUGAAGAAUCCCCAAGAUUUUCCUGUCAUGUCUGCUUGUUUUGCUUGGUUAAAAGAGACACCUGAUGAAAUUCAUGCUUUUUCCAUCUCUUUCCAAUACAUUAGGGCAGAAAAAGAAGCCAAGUUUUCCUUUGGAAGACAGAAACUGAUUCACUACAAUCCCUAAGGAAAAAGUUUAAUAUCUACAGGCUUAUCAGCCAGUUUUACAGCAAGUUUCAUCCCUUUGAUUCACUUACUCUCUCCCAUCAGGAGGAGUCUCGCUGAGUUGGGUGUGUUUUUCAAAUAUGAAUUUCAUGAAUCAUACAUCUUAAAAGCAAGAUGGGAAGCGAGGCAGGCUCAAACCAUGGCCAGGGUCAACACGUACUGACCGAGGUAGACAUCAUGAACCUGGAUGCAAACCUUUCAGCGCAGACCUUGCUAGUAAUGUUUUUUUUCCACAGAUGAAGUCAAAAUCAAGGGAUUAGUGGGCUUCUACCUCCUAUAGGACACUUGUGAGCCUGACUAUGUGGCACUCUCCUCCCAGAGCAAAGCAUCAUCUCCACAGCUUUGCUUAGCACAGUGCCAGGCACAGGAAAAUGAACCACAAGUCCCUUGUGGAAAUUAAGGAAUUACAUGCAAGUCUGCAACAAAAGCUUUACAGAAUGAUCCUCCGAAACCGCAGAGAAGUUCAGGAGGUAACCUGUGAAUCUCUGGCCAGAUGCUUUUAACAUUUUUUUGACCAACUGCUGUGGAUGGUAACUGAUGAAGCACCUGUGCAGAGUCCUUGCUAUUUCUCACUCCAUGUGAAGGGAAUGAACACAUAAGGUUGCUUAACUGAUACUACACGACUUCAGCUGGGCACAAGAGCCCUGAUUCUCAGUACAACCACAAAAACUUUCACUACCUUAGCAGGGGAUGGCAACAUAUUUCUCUGAAGUUACACUUUUAAAAAAGAAAGCUUCCUGCUGCUUAAAUAUAUGAGUACAUUCUCCAUAA